CGAAGGUGGAGAAGAGAUAGGUUCCAAAACCUAGGCUUUGAUUCAAACUAUCAUAACUUUUCGCUCGGAACUCCGAUCGCUGCACCGUUUGUCGUUACGCGUUUACCGCAUCGAACUCUACGACUCUAUCGAUCAAUUGCAUUGGACCCAAUUAGCUUGAGAAAAAUGCUCACUCUUACUUAUUUGGCACUUGGGUACGUUGUAUGAGUAUAUGUGAGAUGGAGUAAGAAUUGAAUAUACUAGAGGCUUGAUUGGAAACUUGAGACACUGAAUUGU